CAGGAAGGCCCCGUCUCUGAAUCGGAUGAGGAAACAGGUUUUGCCGACGCCCGAGUCUCCCAGAAGCAUCACCUAGGAGGGCCACCCACAGAAGGAACCAGGCCCAGAGAGCUGACUUAAACUCUCCCAGGUUGGGGUACCAGUGCCUAACCGCUCCCAUCAUUCUCAGGGUCUAAAAAUUCCCAGAUCCCUGGACGUUGGCGUGGGCCCCGGGGGCUGUCUCGACCCUCCCCCGCUUACUCUGAGAAGACCCGGG